AUCUUGAAUGGGGGGCGGCGUGGAUAUAUACUCCAGCCAGAAAAGACUCAGAUUGUCUCAUGACUUUCUGACUGGCGUACAUAGCCAUCCGCU
rfam:Montana myotis leukoencephalitis virus, complete genome